ACAUCCACAGUAACGCACUCUGAAACACAAGAACCCGCUCUAGAAUAGUUCCUCAUCAGUAAACUACAGAACCCUGUAAAGUAUACAGUAUAAACGUAAUGGGUUAAAGACAAACUCUAGAAGGGUAAAAUUUGUAGACUAACCUAGAACUGACUGAAUGAUACUGUGAUGUUUUCUUUCAUCAUCUCGUGUUCGAGAUCCACCUAUGGGAAGGGCAUCCGUACCUGACCUCUGCAGAAGCAUCCAAUUGCACUAUGUCUGGCUUUGACAGACACGAGCAUGUGUCCAGUGCCUGGUAGAGGCACGCCCCUUACCCGAGUGCAUAAAGAACCUGCAUGGGGAGGACAUAUGCCUUGGAUCAGCCUCUGCCAGACGUGUUUAUCUUGCUAGCCAGCUGCCCACCUUAUGGAUUCGACUGAGCUCUGUGUUUUGCUGCCAUGGCGCAUUCUAAACCAGCUUCGGCUUCCACCAGGGAUAAUCAGUCGCAUGCCUGCCUGGCCACGUACGGUGCUUUAUCAUGGCUAGGGAUUCUCAUCCUUUCUGUGUGGUUUGCAUAGGCCUGAAGCACACUCGAAG